rnacentral:rRNA from 1 species
CACGUAGGCGGUGCCGUAAGUCGGAUGUGAAAUCCCUCGGCCCAACCGAGGAACUGCGUCCGAUACUGCGGUGCUUGAGGACCAGAGGGGUGCAUGGAAUUUCCGGUGGAGCGGUGAAAUGCGUUGAUAUCGGAAGGAACUCCGGCGGCGAAAGCGAUGCACUGGCUGGUUUCUGACGCUGAGGUGCGAAAGCCAGGGAGCAAACG